UGGCAGCAGCACCUUGUGAGUCAGUGUUGAAUUAAAGUUGUCAAAUGUGACGUUGACACAUUGUUUACUGUCACUGUUUUGGUGGCAUGGCAAUGGAGUGGUUCGCCCACACAUGAAUGCAUUACAGUAAAAGCAAUAAAGCUAAUGUGGUGGAUUUUAACAACAGCACUACUUAUAGCAGAGGCCACGCUGUGACCGGUCCAAGCGUUAGCCUUUGGGCUUCAGCUUGACAGCAGGCUGCUGCUGAUGGAGGCCGAGAUCUUUGGAAAUGAAAAGUGCAUUUAUAGCUCCCCUUAUGAAGCCACAUUCUUGACUAAUCCAGAGGAUAGCUGUGUAGCACGGCUCCUCUGAGCUCAUAGGCACAGCAGAAAACAAAGAGAAGGAGCGCCAUGCCACUGGGCCUGAACCUGAGAGUCAUUCUUAAGCCUCGUGUUUAUACAAAUACAUGUAGCUGGGGUGAGAUUGUGCCGCCCAGACAACAAGAGGUAAUCCAGCAUUUACAAAGCAGGCAGUGAGUGUUUCACGUCACUGUGGAGGAAUGUUGGCCCACUCAUAUUUGUUUUCAUUCAGAAACACUGGACGGUUGACUCCGCCUCAGUCACUUUGCAUCACAGUUCAAAGAAUCUUAUGUGAUACUGAGCUUUAGUAAAGUCUGCUA